GAUGAACGCUGGCGGCGUGCCUAAUACAUGCAAGUCGAGCGAACAGACGAGGAGCUUGCUCCUCUGACGUUAGCGGCGGACGGGUGAGUAACACGUGGAUAACCUACCUAUAAGACUGGGAUAACUUCGGGAAACCGGAGCUAAUACCGGAUAAUAUAUUGAACCGCAUGGUUCAAUAGUGAAAGACGGUUUUGCUGUCACUUAUAGAUGGAUCCGCGCCGCAUUAGCUAGUUGGUAAGGUAACGGCUUACCAAGGCAACGAUGCGUAGCCGACCUGAGAGGGUGAUCGGCCCCACUGGAACUGAGACACGGUCCAGACUCCUACGGGAGGCAGCAGUAGGGAAUCUUCCGCAAUGGGCGAAAGCCUGACGGAGCAACGCCGCGUGAGUGAUGAAGGUCUUCCGAUCGUAAAACUCUGUUAUUAGGGAAGAACAAAUGUGUAAGUAACUAUGCACGUCUUGACGGUACCUAAUCAGAAAGCCACGGCUAACUACGUG
rnacentral:rRNA from 1 species